GGGUCUUUUCUAGGGCCGUACCUGCAGCACAUGGAGGUUCCCAGGCGAGGGGUCCAAUCAGAGCUGUAGCUGCCGGCCUACGCCAGAGCCACAGCAACGUGGGAUCUGAGCUGUGUCUGCAACCUACACCACAGCUCACAGCAACACCGGAUCCUUCACCAACUGAGCAAGGCCAGGGAAUCAAACCCACAACCUCAUGUUUCCUUAACCACUGUGCCACGAUGGGAACGCCACAUUUCAUAUUCUAAAUAGAGCUUUAAAAGUCAGGAAAUUUAAGUUUUAUUACUGUUUUAUCACCCAAGUAUGAAUCUCUUGAUACCAUAGUUUAGUCUUGCCUGUUUAAAAAAAAAAAAAAAAAAAAAAAAAAGAUGUUUUCUAAGUCUCUUUUAAUCUACAGGUGUUCCCUCCUGUAAUUAUUCUGUUGAAGAAUCUUCUUGUUUGACCUGUAGAAUUUUCCACAGAAUGGAUUUUGUUCAAGGCACAAAUUAACACAUUCCUGUCCUCUGUAUUUCCUGCAGGCUGUAGCUGGAACCAGACACUUGCUCAGACUCUGGUUUACUCUCUUUGGAAAGACUUUUCUGAUGUAGUUAUUUUGCUGUGUUCAAGGCAUGCGCAAGUUCCAGGCCAGGGAUAAAAACCCUCACUACAGCAAUAACCAGAGCCACAGCAGUGGAUCCUUAAUCCAUUGAGCCACCAGGGAAUUCCUGGCAAGACUUUAGCUGGUGGUGUGUUCUCUCAUCAGGAGGCACACAAUGCCUGAUUGCCUUUCUUUUUGCAAUGUUAUCAAUUGUGUUAAUAUACAAUACCUAGAUCCAUUAAUUUAUUGGAAGUUGCAAAAAGUGGUCUCUAAUUCUAUUUUUCAUUUUUAAUUUGACAUAUUUUACAGAGAGAUGCUUCCCCUCAUCUACAAUCUGGUUACUCAAUACUACAAUUCAGGAGUUCGUUGUGGCUCAGCCACAACAAACCCAACUAGUAUCCAUGAGGAUGAGGGUUCCAUACCUGGCCUUGCUCAUGGGUUAAGAAUCCUACGUUGCUACGACUGUGGCACAGGCUGGCAGCUGCAGCUCUGAUUAGAUCCCUAACCUGGGAACGUCCAUAUACCAUGGAUGUAGGCCUUAAAAAAAAAAAAGUUGGAUGUCAACUGCAAAGGUUGAUUUUAUAUGUUAACUUAGAAGGUGUUUCUGGACGAGAUCAACAUUUAAAUCAGUGAACUAUGUAUGAGUAAACUAGACUGCCAUCCACAACGUGUGUGGGCCUCAUCCAAGUAACUGAAGUCCUGAGUAGAACAAAAAGACCAGCCUCCCCAAGCAAGAGGGAAUUCUCCAGCAGAUUGCUUUCAAACUGGAACUGCACCGUCGGCUCUCUGGUGGCUCCACUUUGCCAGCCUUCACUGAAAUGGCACCACAGGCACUCCCACGUCUGUGCUUAUCAAGCCUGCCAGCCUCUAUUGCUAACAUUGGACCUGACAGCCUCCACAACUGCAUGAGCCAAUUCCUUGUAAUAAAUCUGUCUAUAUACACAUCUUAUCCAUUCUGUUUCUCUGAAGAACCCUCAAACACCAUUACAGGUUCUAAUGGAGGUUUAAAGGAGGUCACAUCCACUUACGGAAUUUCAGAAAAAUUCACAGAACCCAUUUAUUCUUUCACUUAAACAUGUCACAAAUAUUUACCAAGCAUCAGUUAGGAGCUGGGACUACUGUGAGUACUGAUGUGGAUACGGUCCCUUUAAAGAGCUGACAUUUUAAUGUAGGAAACACACAAUAAGUACAUAGAUGUAAGGAGGUGAUAAGGGAUACAAGCAAAACCAAGUAGGGUAAGGGCAAGUUCAGAGUGAGGCAGAGAAGGAGAGAGUGACCAGAGCUCUACUUCAGACAGGGAAGGGCUCUCAUAAGGGAAGAUGCUAUGUGAGAAAAUGUGUGAACGAAGGGAGUAAGCUAAGCAAAGAUGUGUGGGAAGACGUUGUGGUAAACAGCAAUGAAAAGGCAAUGAGAAGAACAGAAUAAGGGAGAGUAGAAAAAUGAGAUAUGCAAUGAGCCAGACCAUGAGGGGCCUGACAAGUGUGGUAGAGAGUAUAGAUUUUAUUCUGAUGGGACAUCACCGAAGGGCAUGGCAUACAUGUUCUGUAUGCUCUUGUAAAGGGAUUUGUUAACAGCUCAGUAAGGAACGGCCUCUACAAGGGUAAUAGUAAAAGCCAGAAGACAUUUAACAAGAUGGUUUAAUGAGUGGAAAGGAUUUUGACAGAUGGAAUACUCUGGAAAAAGCUGACAAAAUCAAGUAGAAAUUUGAGUGCAAAGUUUGAGAGGAGGCUAGACAGUCAUCUGCUUAGGCAUUAGUUCUGAGAACUGAUGUAAUCCCAAGUGAGAGCGUAUAUAAAGAGAGGGGACAACAAUAUCGCUACACGCUUAUCAGAAUGGCCAAAAGAGCUGAAAAUGUAUGUCCACAUAAAAACCUACACUGAAAUGUUUACUGAAUCUUUAUUUUUAACUGCCAAACAUUGGAACCACCAUUCACCUCAGCAGGUGAACAGAGGAAACCUUAAAUGAACUACUAAGUGAAAGAAGCCAAUCUGAAAAGGCGAUAAACUAUAUGAUUCAAUCUAUACAACAUUCUGAAAAAAACAAAACUAUGGAGAUAGUAAAAAGAAUGGUGGGUGCCAGGCGGAGGGGUAGGCAAGUGACAAACAGACGGAGCACAGAGGAUUUUUAGGACAGUGGAAAAUACUCUGUAUGAUACAAGAUGAUGGAUAAAUGAUUCGCCCAUGUUGUCAUAUAUUUGUCUUAAAGAAUGAAUGUGCGACAUCAAAGGUGAAUGCUGGGAUUCCCA
rnacentral:lncRNA from 1 species